AGGGCUGCACCCAUGGCAUAUGGAAGUUCCCAGGUGUGGGGUCAAAUCUAAGCUACAGCUGCUGGCCUGUGCCACAGCCACAGCCACAGCAAUGCCAGAUCCUUAACCCAGUAGGGUCAGGGAUUGAACUGCAUCCUCCUGGAUACUAGUUAGGUUUGCUACCACUGUGCCACAAUGGAAACUCCUCAGGGCACUAGAGUUUUCAUGUAAAAUUUGAAUGGAAAGAGUGAUUUAGUUCAGCAUAGAGCUAAUGCCUCCCAAAGUGAAAUCUUUUGUUCAACAAGUCUAAGCAAGGGGAGAGCAACAGGCUCAGAAUGCUUGUGAUUUGUGUACUGAGUGAGCAAGAAUCAUUUUUUUUUAUAUAUAUUUAGCAACUUAAAUGCUAACAGGAUAGCUGAGGAAAUUAAAAGGGCUGGGAGUGAAGGCAGACAGACCAGGGAAGAGCCUAUGGCAAUUGUCAGCCUAGAAAUGAUGAGGGUCUUGGCAGCAAAAUGAAGGAGAGAUGAUUUUUGCCAGGUAUUUCAGAAGGAUGACUAUCCAGGGCUUGGUAAAUGACUUGACAUGGCAGUAGAGAUGAAUAAAUCAGGGGUGACGCUAAGAUUCUUCUUCAAGGCUUUGAACAUGUCUAAGAUUGAACUCAUUACCUCUUCACAAAUGCAGCUCCUCCUCCUCCCAACUCCUGACAUCCUCAUCAUCUCAGUUAUAGAGGAUCCAUUUCCUCUAAAGUAGCUUUUUAACAGUACCCUCCUGCCUGGUCAUUCUGCCUUUAGUGCUCCCAACCUUCGUAUGUUGGUGUCAUCCAUAAACUGGAAAUAGGGUGCAUUUUCGGCAGUUCUGUUCAUAUCACUAGUUGGACCAACAAUCAUUUUCAGCCAAUGAGUUUGGAAAAUCUGGGGUUAGAAAACUAAAAGAAUAAACAGGAAAAGAAGCCUAUGUUAAAUUGGUAGUUAAUUAAUCAUUAUAUAUCAUAGAGUUUCCAAAGUAUUUUCACAUUUGAUUUUAUAACAACUCUCUAAAAGAGGAAUCCCCUUCCAAUGAUGGAUAUGAGACUCAAAGAUGUAACUCUGGCUGAAAAUCACAGAGCUAUUAAAUUUUAGUAACUUUCAGUGGAGUGCAAUAUAGAAACUUGUAAUAAUGAAACAGUUCCUUCUUUUUAUCUAAAUUUAAUUUCCCAUAUUAGAGACAACAGGCUAUGAGGGCUAAAUGUACCAGGAUUAAUAACCAGAGAGUAUAUGGAAUUUUUCCAAUCACACUAUGAAUUUGACUCAUCCAACCUUCAUCUUUUAUAUGCCACAAAAUUUCUAGGGCAUAGUCUAAAAGCACAUUUUUUUUCUUUUUCUUUUUAAUACUGCUCUGUCACCAAGAAUUGGGAGAAAUGGCUGAGCUCUCCAUUCUCUGAGUUUAGGUGACAUCCAAACUCUUGGCACAAUAUCAUGAGCAGCAGCAAUAUCAUGAGCAGUUAUCCACGUCUCACCUCUGGCUACAGAUCUCAGGCUAGUUGUUCCUGAGAAAUAGUUCCAGACCUAAAAGGCAGCAGAUCAAGUUUCUGGAGAAGACCAGGUUGACUUAAUAGCAGAUCCUCUCUCUCAGAUUAUGUCCCAUAGUGAUAACCUGGUCCUUAUUGCUUAGACCUUCAGCUUGACCUUGUCUUGCCUGCCUGCCUUCCCUGAAGUCAUACACAAAGGCCUCUGGUUCCACUUCCGACCCUUGGUUCAAAGAACAGCUGCCUCAUAGCAGGGAUUUUUCUGUAUUUGAAGUAAGACGACCCAUAUUUAAAUCCUAUUCCUUCCUCAUACAAUCAGAACAAUCUUUAGCUAACAUUUAUUGAGAUUUACUGAAUGCCACACUCUAUUCUUAGCACUUCAUGCGUUAACUCAUUUAUUUUUCACAACAUCAGUAUGAGUUAAGUAUUGUUAUUAUUAUCCCCAUUUUAUUUCUACAGAGUCUGACACACUGGCAGGUUAGGUUACUUGCUCAAGCUGGUUAGUAGCAGAGCUAGAACCAUUGGCAAUUCAUUAUCCUAUGUGAACUGACUUCUUCAUUAGUAAACUGGAGAUAAGAGCACUGCCCUUAUAGAGAAAAUGUGAAAAUACUUAUUAAGCUACACGAAGCUCUGUAAAUUCCCAAAUUGUUAUUAUUGACUGAUGCCUUGAUACCACACCCAGCCAGAUCCUAAAUAAUCUGUCUAGCUCUGAUCCAUGGCUUUCUCAGACUUUCUAGUUACUUUCAUCCUGGGCAGCCACUUCCAUUUGUAGCCUGCAGGUACAUAUACAUUGAUAUUACCAGCAAGAGCUUCCCUCCUCUAAAUCAAAUAAACCAUUUUCUCCCACUUUAUCUAGCUAGCCAAAAUGAGUGUGCUGAAUUGACAUAUUGCUUAAAUGAGGACUGCAAUGGCCCCAAACAAUAAUUCCAUGACAGAGACAAACCUAAAAGCUAUUAUAUACUAUCUAAUAUCCCUAUAAGUAUGAUAAUUCAUAUCAAAAAUGUGUCUACAGAGGACAGAACCAUCUCAUAGCCAAUGAAAGCAGAAACAAAGAACAGUAAUCAAAGACAGGAAAGGUGUGGCCAGCAGAGUGUCACUUGAUCUUGCGAUCUAUAUCCCUUAUGUGACUAUAAUGUCUUGCUGUUCUCACAUUGAAAGAAACAUUAAUUAGAUCCAUAAAUUGAUCCAGUGACAGCUAUUUGCCUCAGUGUUUUUACUCUGCAUCGGGCUGUGUUUCCUGAUCAGCCCUACUUCACAUGUUUAGUAAACACUUUACUUGUUAGCAGACUGUGUCUGUGUUUUAAACUUUGGCUCCGUUUUAUAAGAUUGAGCUUCUGGAGCAAUAUAGUUUAAAUGGCAACUUGAAAAUGA
rnacentral:lncRNA from 1 species